AUUUGUAAGAUUGCCAUAGGCUUGAUCUCUUCAUUAUGUCGAUGAUGGUUCUAGAUUUUUGAUGUGUGGAUGAUGAUUCUAGCUAAAUUUUAUAUGGCUGCUAUUGAUUUCUACCAUUAUUUUAGUUGUUAUGUUAGUUUAAAUGACUCUACUGGUUAAGAUUGAUAUUGUACUAUUGUAGGUUUCCUUUCAAUAUUACUUGGGGAAUAUCGGAUGCUGCAUUGCCACAAGGAUAGCGCUUGAAUCUUGACUCUAAAGUUGAAAAUAUCAUAAAAAAUUUUUUAGAGCUGUUAGGAUUUACCCAGCUGUUUUGGUGGUGCUUUGAACCAUUUCUCCUUCUUAGUACAGUGCUAGCAAUAACCUCCACCCAUGAUUUAGUAUUUUUGUCAUGUUAUAACCUCUUUUAGGUAUUUGGGCUUUGGUACAGGGGUAAUUUAGUACGCGUUUUUCUUGAAUCAUAUGUCUGUCUUUGUCAGCUUUAGUCAUGCUGGAAGUGUUGUGUUACCAUGAUUGAUGUUUAGCAAACAUUGUAGCUAGUUGUGCUUGUAUAGUCUGCCCAGCACCAUUGUGACACAUCCAAUGAUCCUAAGCUUCCUGCCUUCCUAUAAUCCUAAUUCCUAUAGGAUCAGAGAGCUAAGGAUUCUGAAAUCGACAGUCGACACAAAUCACUCAGCGACAACCACUCUAUGUGCAUGCCAAAUUUUGGUAUUCUAUUAAUGGUAUUCUAAAGAAAAUGCAACAACAAAGGUGUCAACUAAUUGUCAGAGGUUCUUUUCAAGGUGGUUUUCUGAGCAAACAGCAUACAAUCAGAUAUCAAGGCGAUGUGGCAAGCUGGAUUUCGAAAAGAUGUUGAGGUCCACUUUGCUUUGCGGAAUAUAACAUCAAAUAGUUCUUAGCAGCAGAUGUAUUUAUUAGAACAAUUCUCAGGUAAUUCUUGAGUCCAUACUUUCUGUAACAUCCUAUCGACACAGCACUUGUAAAUUGUAGGGAAAAAUCUAAAAGAUAAGUAAUAUUGUUACACAAAUUUCUUAAUUAGGGAAAAGUAAUUUGUUUUUUUACUAAAGUUAUAUAUCAAACAAAUCCUUAACAUCUUGUGUGUGUAUGUAUGUUUGAUGGGUCCCUUUGAUCAAAGUAAGCCGUCAGAUUAUCCAUUAUUUAUAAGUUUUUUUAAGAGAUAUAUAAAUAAUGUUUGUGCAGAUCACCGUCUUGAAUAAAAGAACUACGUGUCUAGUUCUUGAACCGCUAUAUUUUUGUCAAAAAGUACUUUUGAUCAUAAUUUACCACUUUAGAAAGUGGAUGUGGGAGUGGAAGUAAACAUUAAGGUGGGAAUGACCCACUUAUCAAAUGACACUCUCACUUUAGUAAGUAAAAAAAUACCAUUACAAUCCAGGAUUAAGGUUGGCCAUGUCAUGUAAAUCUAAGAAUAUCCAUUCUAAUCCCGGUAAUGCCCUAACCGGACCCAUUAAUACUUACUUAAUUAGGAAACUUUAGUUCUCUGUAGGACCCACACAAUCAACAUAAUCCUAAGUUGUCUGGCGCAACUCUUAUUUUUAUUGGUACAUUUUCAACUAACAUUUCUAGUAUGGGACCCAUUCAAGAACAUAGUAUCCAAAAAGUUGUCUAAUGAAUAAGUUGGUGAUUACUGAGAAAUUACCCUUUUGAGACCGGCUUUAAUUACCAUUCCUAUAAAUGAUUAGUGUUUUAAGCAUUUGGCUUAACAACAAACAACCUUAAAUUCGAUUCAGUUACUCAGACUCCACCCACUAAACACUCCCAAAGGUACAAAAAUGAUACAAAUUCCAGGUGCAGAACAGGUUGUGGUUGUAAUCGAGCCAGAGCCUGCAAAACCCCAAUUUGACAAUUUCUUAACAGCCUCAUUUUGGUUCAGAUGCCUAGGCCACAUCUUUAACCUUGCAGCAAUACGAUUAUACGGUGGUGUAGUUGUCCCUCUAGGCCACCUAUGGACUAUCUAUUACCCUCGAAUAGUAUUUGGUGAAGAAGGUAUCCUCAUGCCCCGUUCUGCACUUGGAUUUAUCAUCAAUGUGCUGCUUGCUUUUGUAGAAAUUAAGUCGCAGGGGCAGCCUGGAUUCCCUUUCCAUACUCACCCUAAAGCUAUUAACAUUUCUGUUACCAGUCUCCUCGCCUAUGGCUUGAUUUCUGCAGGUGAACUUCUCACACGUCUUGAAAACACUUCUAUUUAUGGCGUUAUUGCUCGCUUAGGAAGGAUUGGUUCUUUGUGCACUUUGGUUGCAUCAUUGUUUUAUUUGUUUUAUUUCUGAGACUGGAUAUUGUAUAAGUUCAUGUAAGAGUACUAAAUAAAGCCCUGUAACUGCGUAA